rnacentral:rRNA from 1 species
AACAUCUAAGUACCCCGAGGAAAAGAAAUCAACCGAGAUUCCGAAAGUAGCGGCGAGCGAAAUUGGACUAGCCCUUAAGCUUUACACGCGUUAGACGAACGGUCUGGAAAGUCCGACGAUACAGGGUGAUAGUCCCGUAGUUGACGACGUGUGUUCAGUGAAAUCGAGUAGGGCGGGACACGUGAUAUCCUGUCUGAAUAUGGGGGGACCAUCCUCCAAGGCUAAAUACUACUGACUGACCGAUAGUGAACCAGUACCGUGAGGGAAAGGCGAAAAGAACCCCUGUGAGGGGAGUGAAAUAGAACCUGAAACCGUGUACGUACAAGCAGUAGGAGCAGGCUUUGUCCUGUGACUGCGUACCUUUUGUAUAAUGGGUCAGCGACUUAUAUUCAGUGGCAAGGUUAACCAUCUAGGGGAGCCGUAGGGAAACCGAGUCUUAACUGGGCGUUCAGUCUCUGGAUAUAGACCCGAAACCAGGUGAUCUAGCCAUGGGCAGGUUGAAGGUUGAGUAACAUCAACUGGAGGACCGAACCGACUAAUGUUGAAAAAUUAGCGGAUGACUUGUGGCUAGGGGUGAAAGGCCAAUCAAACCUGGAGAUAGCUGGUUCUCCCCGAAAGCUAUUUAGGUAGCGCCUCGGACGAAUACUACUGGGGGUAGAGCACUGUUAAGGCUAGGGGGUCAUCCCGACUUACCAACCCUUUGCAAACUCCGAAUACCAGUAAGUACUAUCCGGGAGACACACGGCGGGUGCUAACGUCCGUCGUGGAGAGGGAAACAACCCAGACCGCCAGCUAAGGUCCCAAAUUACUACUAAGUGGGAAACGAUGUGGGAAGGCUCAGACAGCCAGGAUGUUGGCUUAGAAGCAGCCAUCAUUUAAAGAAAGCGUAAUAGCUCACUGGUCGAGUCGGCCUGCGCGGAAGAUGUAACGGGGCUAAGUAGUAAACCGAAGCUGCGGCAAUAUACUUUUGUAUAUUGGGUAGGGGAGCGUUCUGUAAGCGGUUGAAGGUGUGUGGUAACGCAUGCUGGACGUAUCAGAAGUGCGAAUGCUGACAUGAGUAACGAUAAAGGGGGUGAAAAACCUCCUCGCCGGAAGACCAAGGGUUCCUGUCCAACGUUAAUCGGGGCAGGGUAAGUCGACCCCUAAGGCGAGGCCGAAAGGCGUAGUCGAUGGGAAACGGGUUAAUAUUCCCGUACUUCUUACAAUUGCGAUGGGGGGACGGAGAAGGCUAGGUGGGCCUGGCGACGGUUGUCCAGGUUCAAGUGCGUAGGCUUAAGAGUUAGGUAAAUCCGGCUCUU